UUACUCUUUGAAUAUUUGUUUACUCUUUGAAUGACUAGUUUGAACCAACCUGUAUUAAAGAAGUGCAAGAUAACCGUAUGCCUGUCUCCGAAGAGUUAUAUACAAGAUAAAACAGAUAUACUCCGAGACAAGCGUAAAGUUCUGCGGGAAUCUAACGGGGAAAUUCGUGAAGAUCGGAGAAGCUUGGUAUCUAGUUUCUCUAGUCCUACUGAACCAUCCAGUUCAUCUAGAUCUAGGGUCCCUAGUCCUGGUUCAGAUAAAACGAGUUCUCUCCUUGUGGGAUCCCGGGAGAGGAGUUCAUCCAAAAGUUCUGGAUCAAUAGUUACAGUUCAUGAGGAAGGAUUGAAGUGUAUUAAGAGUGAAACUGCUUCUCCGACUUCGUCGCCUUAUUAUCUAGUUGAAGAUGGUCUAGUUGAAGAUGAUCUUGUUGAAGAUGGGGUUGAUGAAGAUGGGGUUGAGAUGUCAUUUGACGCAGAAAACUCCAAUAGAACUAGAAAUACCAAACCAAAUCAAAUUGAUAAAUUAUCACAAAAAUCAGGCGCUUCAGUCCAUCCCAUGCUUAAAUUCGAUGUAAAAAUACCAAAUCAUCCUUUGACAGUGAAUCAGUUACGACAGGCAAAACGUGACAUGAAGGCUUUAAAAAAGCCUAUUUUGAAAGUGUCUGUGCCCCGAGAUAAUGAGUCGGCGAGAAUAACUGAUUUAAGGAUUCCGGUUCGGCAGGCAGCGAUCAAUCCUGCGAAUGAUCUCAACAAUGUCGGAGAGUGGGAUAUACAUAGAAACCAUGUUGUGCUGUUGGAGUCCGAGCAUUUUUCGAAAAGUCUUCUACACAACGAGUUUAAAAAUACCGAAGAGGACGAAGAGGAGACAAAUUUAAGUAUUCAGAGGUACCUGGAGUCAUUGGAACCUUCAACUACGACACGGCUCUGAGUCGAUUCUUUCGAAUAAUUUGUAAAAGAUUCUAAUUGACUAAGGGUUAUGGUGUAACCGUUCCAGGUACCCGGAGUCAUUUUAAGUGGAACCUUCAGCCCAAAAUUUAAAAAGAAAAAAUACUCAUUCAGAUUAUUUACAAAAAUACUCUCAUCUUUUACGAAUAUCAUUAUUAGAUCUGAUUAGUUAGUUUUUAACAUAGAUAAUUUUCUUGUACUUCCUAUUUUUGAUUAUUUUGGAGCUUGGCGAGGGGAUGAACAAUACUCUCAAUGUUCACAAUUCUAAUUAUUAGAUUUGAUAAUAGUUUGGAGCAGUACAUAAUGUUUCGUACUUCUCAUUUUUGAUUAAUUUUGUAGCUUGAUUAUUUUAUUUCACUCAAAUUAUCUAAUAUACAUUUUACAUAAACAAACGAUAAAAAAACUACUUGUCGAAAAAAUUGAACCAUUUUAUAUUUAAGAAAUUUGUGUCCACUUUCGGUAAUACAUAUAAUAUUGCUUUAAUUGCUAUCACAAAACUGUUGUGCAUUUUCGUUGUAUGCGAAAUAUCUAAAAUUUGUAUUAUUUUGGUAUUACACAAAUAAUUGUGGUAAUUAUUACAUAUAUAAUCUCUGUGGCAUUACUACAUAAAAUGUAUGUUGUUACAUUAAAGAUGAUCCUGCAUCUAUGAUGAAUGAUUAUUUUUUUUUUCCUGUUAUAAAUAUACAUUUGUUUACAUAAAACGUAUUUGCUAAAACACUGAUUUAUAUUUUCAGAAAAAUAUAUGAUUUCACUUCACUGAAGAUAAUUGCACAUGUAUGUGUACUCAAGAUCCAUUUCCUCCAUGUAGUGCCCACAUGUCAAACCCCGCUUCUUCUCCCCCCCCCCCUCUACAGAUCCCAGCCCCGGCAGUCAGUGGAGAACACUGGAGAUGAUCACAACUCCGUCUCAGGGAGCAAUCCUGGCUCCUUCAUAGUGAUGA
rnacentral:misc_RNA from 1 species